UACGAAGGGGGCUAGCGUUGCUCGGAAUCACUGGGCGUAAAGGGUGUGUAGGCGGGCCAUUAAGUCAGGGGUGAAAUCCCGGAGCUCAACUCCGGAACUGCCUUUGAUACUAUUGGUCUUGAAUAUUGUUGAGGUGGGCGGAACGGGUCAUGUAGCGGUGAAAUGCAUAGAUAUGACCCGGAACACCGAUUGCGAAGGCAGCCCGCUAAGCAAUGAUUGACGCUGAGGCACGAAAGCGUGGGGAUCAAACAGG
rnacentral:rRNA from 1 species